UACAGAGGUCUCAAGCGUUUGUUCGGAUUCAUUGGGCGUAAAGGGUGCGUAGGUGGCGCCGUAAGUCAGGUGGUGAAAUUUCGGAGCUUAACUCCGAAACUGCAUUUGAUACUGCGGUGCUUGAGGACUGGAGAGGAGACUGGAAUUUACGGUGUAGCGGUAGAAAUGCGUAGAGAUCGUAAGGAAGACCAGUGGCGAAGGCGGGU
rnacentral:rRNA from 1 species